GGACAACCGGGUCUUAAUGGGCGUGACGGUGCAGUUGGAACCCCUGGACCUCCAGGAAGUAGAAACCCCGGUGUAGCAGGCAAGAAGGGUGAAAAGGGAGAUACUGGAAGAAUGGGGAUACAGGGCCA